GUGCAUGCACUUUUUUUUUCCUAUUUGGUGCUUGUAGACGUUAUGGGAAAGUUGUCUCUCUCCCUUCUCCUCCCCAUCCCUCCCCUCUGUCCUUCUCCUCUCGUCUUGUCAUGUGCUCGGGAUGUGCUCAUGCUUUGCACAGAGAGCAGCUGUAGCACGCCUAAUGCAGGUUACAGAGUGUUAGCGGCAAUUUUAAAGUCCCCCCCCCCCCCCCCCCCCCACCUUCCACCUCCACCCAUCUCCGCCGCCACCAAAUAAUACGGCCGGGAUAUUGGAGGGGAACGUAUACCGCACCACGUACACGCGGAGCCCGCUCUUCCUCUCCUGCUUGGGACGCCUUCCUGACCGCUUGCAAGUGAUUUGACUCGCCAUUAGAAAUGAUGGAGAGAAAGAGCUGUGAAGAAGAAGUGCAGGCAGCAGGAAGUAGAGGUCAACACCAGAUCUCUGGGAUUUUGCUCUCCACUGGACCCACAUGAGGUUGGAUGGACACGUCAUUGAUUGUGACCCAUAAACAAGUGGCAUAAUGACUGGAGUCUCCACACUAAAGACGUCAAGGAUAUUCAGCUGAUCUCAGAGGUGGAUGAUUCUCCUGAUCAAGUGGAAAGGAGCCUGAAUUUCAGCAAGAAAGAACCAUCAAGAUAUAUCUCACAUGCUUUAGUGACAAUCUCACUAUGACCUGCACUGUACUUUAUAUUUCUGUAUUUCUGUCAACUAGUUCUAAGAUUGUUGACCAAACUGACAAUCCUCUCAACAAUGGACUGAAAAUAGUCAAUCCAACAAAUUCUUUGACUUUGCUCCAAUAGGCAUCAAUGUAUUUAUUUUUAAAUUUUUAUACGGGAGAACACUUCCCAAAAUAAGAUAAAAAUAUUCCACACAUUAAAACUUGCACCUAUUUCAUGUAAUUGAUUGAGUCUAACAAGGAUAUUUUUUGACAGCUAAAUAAAGACUUUUUUCUCCCUUUAA